AGGAUCGGGAUAACACCUGGAAACAGAUGCUAAUACCGGAUAACAACAGAUGAUGCCUAUCAACUGUUUAAAAGAUGGGUUCUGCUAUCACUCUUGGAUGGACCUGCGGUGCAUUAGCUAGUUGGUAGGGUAACGGCCUACCAAGGCGAUGAUGCAUAGCCCGAGUUGAGAGACUGAUCGGCCACAUUGGGACUGAGACACGGCCCCAAACUCCUACGGGAGGCAGCAGUAGGGAAUCUUCCACAAUGGACGCAAGUCUGAUGGAGCAACGCCGCGUGAGUGAAGAAGGGUUUCGGCUCGUAAAGCUCUGUUGUUGGUGAAGAAGGACAGGGGGUAGUAACUGACCUUUGUUUGACGGUAAUCAAUUAGAAAGUCACGGCUAACUACGUGCCAGCAGCCGCGGUAU
rnacentral:rRNA from 1 species